rnacentral:rRNA from 1 species
UACUAAGCGGAGGAAAAGAAACUAACAAGGAUUUCCUUAGUAGCGGCGAGCGAACAGGAAUGAGCCCAGCACUGAAUCCCGCGGUUCUGCCGCCGGGAAAUGUAGUGUUCGGGAGGAUCCAAUUAACCCUCGGCGUCGGACCGCGUCCAAGUCCAUCUUGAAUGGGGCAACUUACCCGUAGAGGGUGCCAGGCCCGUAGCGACCGGGACGCGUCGAGGGUGGAUCUCUCCUUA